rnacentral:rRNA from 1 species
AUGGCUGUGCCCUCCACCCAGAUCCGUCCGCCAUUGGCCCUGCAUUGUCCCUCCCGAUGGGAUCCAGCCUCCACCACUGCGCACGGUGCGACGGGAUCCACCACGGACGAGGGAAAGGCCGCGCGCAGGCGUCGUGAUGUGGUCGUCACGUGGCGCGGCACGAUCCAGGCUCUGGAAUGGGUCGACGAUCUUGAGUUCGCCAUAGUGCCGCCCAGAGGCCCCCUUUGUGAGGCCGCCUGCGCAGACGCUUGGUGCACCGCGGCUGGAUCUCCAUCUCCACCAACAACAGGGACAACGCCAGAGACCAGCUGCAUGCUCAUGCAACCAUGGAUGUCAGGCACGGACGUUGUUCAGUGCCAGGAAGUGAGCAUCACCAUGACGAGGCACAGCCUUGGGGCAGCGCUGAACGCAUUUGACAUCACUGAGAAUGGCUACAGCUGCACGGCCGCCGCAGCGCGUUCACUUUUGCCCUGCACGGCGGCAGCACCGGCUUCAAGAAGCGGUUUAACACUGCCACGGCCACCGGCCUCUGUGUUCUGUCGCGUCCGCAACGCUCGAGACAUUGUCUGCAACGUUGAUGAAGAUGAAGGAGAUGGAAAUUUCAGAUAG